GCCAACUACCAUCGGGACCAAAGAAGCAAGUUCCCUCUCUUCUAGCCAUUCAAAAUAGUUGAGAAUGGGGUUGUUGAAGAAAAAACACCCGAAACAUUCAAAGCCGACGUUGAAGGGUUUCUUAACGGCGGUUUUAGCUACACAUGCUGCAAUAUUCCUCUUGGUUCUUGCCGGUUUAUCCCUCUCUGGGACAGCCGUGGCAUUUAUCGCCACUAUGCCGCUAUUCGUCGUAUUUAGUCCGGUUCUCGUACCAGCGGGUAUUACCACUGGUUUGCUAGCUAUGGGUUUAGCCGCCUCGGGAGGCUCCGGUCUGACGGCCCUCAGCAUCAUCUCGUGGCUCUACAAGAAAUUUACGGUUAAGGAGCUGCCCAAACAUCAGGUCUAACGCUCGUCACAGGCUCACCAGACGGCCGUGAAUCGCAUUGAAUAAAUGAAAGGAAGCCUAGACAAAUGAUGGUGAACAAAAAAAACGCCAUAGACAAAUGAUGAUAUGAAAAACUUGAUAUACAGUUAUAUAAUUUCACAAAUUAAAUCUAGUUAACCCAACUUUUUUAUAGUAAUAAUUGUUACGUGGGGAUGGAACUAAAGUUUUCAAAUAGCAUCUUAUUAAUGUAUGUCGUGGUACCUAAUACUGACAAAUGCAUGCGUAUUUGUUAUCUACUGCUAUACUCUACUCUCUACAACUAUACAAGUAUUGUAUAUGAUAUCUAAUAGUAUAUCAUUUUGAAAACGAAAUAAUGUCAUUGAUUUUGACCUU